rnacentral:lncRNA from 1 species
CACUGUCCCUCAUUCAGGGUUCAAUUUACAUUUAUUGAGCAUUACACAGAUGAGCAAAGGAAUUCAUGAAGAAGCUAAGACACUUAUCUGCGGUUCCAUAGAUUAUUUUAGGUUGGAACCCCUGGAGCUCUGGCUGCCCCUUGCUGUGCAGAUAAUUUGAAUAUCUAUUAGAAAUGCUUUCAGCUACAAGUAAGAGACUGCUCAAAAUAAACAAAUGUAAACAAUCAGGAAUUUUCACCAAACAAGAAAUCUGGAGGUGGUCUUAGCCCCAGAUGAUGGACUAUCCCAUCAAUAAUUCUGUCAAGGAUCCAGCUUCUGUUCUUCCAUUCUGGUUUCCAGUUGUGUGGUUUAUCAUCACCUCAUAGGUUUAACAUAGCGAUGGCCUGCACCUCCAGGUGACUUUAAUCCAAAUGUCAGGAGACCAAGACAAGAGGAUCCGUGUGGCUUUCUGUCCAGCCAGCAAAACUAAUUGACAAAUUCCAAGCCAAUGGGAAACCUGAGAACCCUGGAGAAAGUAUUGAAUAUGGUGGCAGAUGCCUAAGCAGGGGAGGGAAAAUGCCUUCUUCACUCUUCUCCAGGUUUCUAGGCCCCUUUCCCAGUUUCAGGAAUCUUCUAUGUCUUCUGCAAAGAGCAUCUCGUUCUCUUAGGGACAAUAUCAUGGCCGGAUCUAUCACGUGAGCAAGUCUGUCUCCUACCAGCUCUGGAGAAAUCAGCUGUCUUAGAGAAUUGCCUCAAACAUGAAAUGAAGAGGUCUAUCCUUGCUCUUUAUCAUCUGUGUGACAUCCGCUGAGUUACUUGGCAUCUCUUAAAUCAAUGCUUCUCACCUCGGCUUCUCUGGAUAUCAGAAUGAUCGGUGAGUGCCAUGAGGUCCAGCUUUCCGAGAAGUCCUUCUGAUCUGACCUCAAUUUUCCAAAUCUCCAAAUAUUCUAGCUUUGAUUUAGGAAAGGAUGGUUCUCAAAAUCCUUCUGGAAUGCUUAAAGGAUAUGCUGGCUCCUUAGAAUCUUCUCAGGGCCAACCAAUGCUCACCCUCCCCAGAAGCUGGUCCUGACCCUGUGCAAAGCAUCAGGCACAUGUUCAGCCUGUUGUGAGCCUCAGCUCUGUCAACCAUUUUAGAGGGAGCCCGAGAGAGCAGACCAAAUAUUCCCAUGGAGUCAAGGGUAGAGAUACAAUCCUGUCAGUAAUGAUCCUUGUCCCCAGUGGGCGUCCAGGCUAGAAAAAUCCAUUAGGCCACUUGUAACAUCUCUAGGCAGGCCAGGUGUAUUACUCCAGAAUUUGCAUCCACCAGAAUUACUCCCCAGGGAACUUCGUCUUACUGUAAAUCCACAAGGUUCAGGAAAUCUUGAGAGAGGCUCCGUGGAGUCUGCAAGCACAGCCUCCUGGAGGGCAUCUUCUCAGCAGGGUGGAGUUAAGAAAAUCAGGCCUCCAAGAUGUAACUAGCACACUUCCAAGCACCGGAGAGCAGGCCACCACGAGGUUUUUCUAGUCAUGGAGUCCGUGUGUA